rnacentral:rRNA from 1 species
AACGAACGCUGGCGGCGGGGCUUAGGCAUGCAAGUCGAGCGAGAAAGCCGCAAGGCGAGUACAGCGGCGUAAGGGUGAGUAAUAGGUAGUCAACGUAUCGCGCGGACGCGGAUAAUUUCCCGAAAGGGAUUGUAAUACGCGAUGAGACCCACGGGGCCCUUCGGGGCCGAGGGGUCGAAACGUAAGGGGAGUCCUUCCGGGACCGUCGCGCCGUGUGAGCGGACGACCUCCGAUUAG